rnacentral:rRNA from 1 species
AUGACAAGAUUAAUAUCUGACAAUCACCACCUUAAUCUUGUCACGAGAACUCGUCAACUUGUCAAAUCCUCGAAGCAGAUCAUCUGCAACCUCUUGCCGAGACUUUGCAGCGCCAAGACCACACCACCUUGCCUCACGCUGCAGCUUCACCAUGCUGCACCAUCGAUCUCCACUUGCAUGUUCUUCAGCGGCAUCACACCACUGGUCACGUACAUCUUGCCGCCGUCGUCGCAGCAGCUCACCUUGGGGAUGGCAUCACACCACCCAAAACACCACCGUCAGCUAGCUUCACAUCUAUCCUCAUGA